GAUGAACGCUGGCGGCGUGCCUAAUACAUGCAAGUCGAGCGAAAAGACGAGGAGCUUGCUCCUCUGACGUUAGCGGCGGACGGGUGAGUAACACGUGGAUAACCUACCUAUAAGACUGGGAUAACUUCGGGAAACCGGAGAUAAUACCGGAUAAUAUAUUGAACCGCAUGGGUCAAUAGUGAAAGACGGUUUUGCUGUCACUUAUAGAUGGAUCCGCGCCGCAUUAGCUAGUUGGUAAGCUAACGGCUUACCAAGGCAACGAUGCGUAGCCGACCUGAGAGGCUGAUCGCCCACCUUAGAACUUGGACACCCUCCAUGCUCCUACGGUACGCACCAGUCUCCUAUCUUCCGCAAUAGUCGAAAGUCUUACGGAGCAACCCCGCGUGUGUUAUGACAGCCUUCCGUUCGUAAUACUCUCCUAUUAGUUAUAAACAACUUUGUACUUUACUAUGCACUUCUUGACGGUACCUAAUCAGAAAGCCACGGCUAACUACGUG
rnacentral:rRNA from 1 species